rnacentral:rRNA from 1 species
GGGAGUGACGUCAAGUCAUCAUGGCCUUUAUGCCCAGGGCUACACACGUGCUACAAUGGCCGGCACAGACGGCAGCGAGGCCGCGAGGCGGAGCGAAUCGCUUAAAGCCGGUCCCAGUACGGAUUGGAGUCUGCAACCCGACUCCAUGAAGUUGGAAUCGCUAGUAAUCGCGCAUCAGCAUGGCGCGGUGAAUACGUUCCCGGGCCUU